rnacentral:rRNA from 1 species
GAUGAACGCUGGCGGCGUGCCUAAUACAUGCAAGUCGAGCGAACAGACGAGGAGCUUGCUCCUCUGACGUUAGCGGCGGACGGGUGAGUAACACGUGGAUAACCUACCUAUAAGACUGGGAUAACUUCGGGAAACCGGAGCUAAUACCGGAUAAUAUAUUGAACCGCAUGGUUCAAUAGUGAAAGACGGUGUUGCUGUCACUUAUCGAUGGAUCCGCGCCGUAUUAGCUAGUUGGUAAGGUAAAGGCUUACCAAGGCGACGAUGCGUAGCCGACCUGAGAGGCGGAUCGGCCACACUGGAACUGAGACACGGUCCAUGGGCCUACGAGAGGCCGCAGGAGGCAAUCGUCCGCAACGGGCGAAAACCUGACGGAGCAACGCCGCGUGAGUGAUGAAAGUCUUCGGAUCGUAAAACUCUGUUAUUAGGGAAGAACAAAUGUCUAAGUAACUAUGCACGUCUUGACGGUACCUAAUCAGAAAGCAACGGCUAACUACGUG